GACGAACGUUGGCGGCGUGCUUAACACAUGCAAGUCGAACGGAAAGGCCCUGCUUUUGUGGGGUGCUCGAGUGGCGAACGGGUGAGUAACACGUGAGUAACCUGCCCUUGACUUUGGGAUAACUUCAGGAAACUGGGGCUAAUACCGGAUAGGAGCUCCUGCUGCAUGGUGGGGGUUGGAAAGUUUCGGCGGUUGGGGAUGGACUCGCGGCUUAUCAGCUUGUUGGUGGGGUAGUGGCUUACCAAGGCUUUGACGGGUAGCCGGCCUGAGAGGGUGACCGGCCACAUUGGGACUGAGAUACGGCCCAGACUCCUACGGGAGGCAGCAGUGGGGAAUAUUGCACAAUGGGCGGAAGCCUGAUGCAGCAACGCCGCGUGCGGGAUGACGGCCUUCGGGUUGUAAACCGCUUUCGCCUGUGACGAAGCGUGAGUGACGGUAAUGGGUAAAGAAGCACCGGCUAACUACGUGCCAGCAGCCGCGGUGAUACGUAGGGUGCGAGCGUUGUCCGGAUUUAUUGGGCGUAAAGGGCUCGUAGGUGGUUGAUCGCGUCGGAAGUGUAAUCUUGGGGCUUAACCCUGAGCGUGCUUUCGAUACGGGUUGACUUGAGGAAGGUAGGGGAGAAUGGAAUUCCUGGUGGAGCGGUGGAAUGCGCAGAUAUCAGGAGGAACACCAGUGGCGAAGGCGGUUCUCUGGGCCUUUCCUGACGCUGAGGAGCGAAAGCGUGGGGAGCGAACAGGCUUAGAUACCCUGGUAGUCCACGCUGUAAACGGUGGGUACUAGGUGUGGGGUCCAUUCCACGGGUUCCGUGCCGUAGCUAACGCUUUAAGUACCCCGCCUGGGGAGUACGGCCGCAAGGCUAAAACUCAAAGGAAUUGACGGGGCCCCGCACAAGCGGCGGAGCAUGCGGAUUAAUUCGAUGCAACGCGUAGAACCUUACCUGGGUUUGACAUGGAUCGGGAGUGCUCAGAGAUGGGUGUGCCUCUUUUGGGGUCGGUUCACAGGCGGUGCAUGCCUGUCGUCAGCUCGUGUCGUGAGAUGUUGGGUUAAGUCCCGCAACGAGCGCAACCCUUGUUCACUGUUGCCAGCACGUUAUGGUGGGGACUCAGUGGAGACCGCCGGGGUCAACUCGGAGGAAGGUGGGGAUGACGUCAAGUCCUCAUGCCCCUUAUGUCCAGGGCUUCACGCAUGCUACAAUGGCUGGUACAGAGAGUGGCGAGCCUGUGAGGGUGAGCGAAUCUCGGAAAGCCGGUCUCAGUUCGGAUUGGGGUCUGCAACUCGACCUCAUGAAGUCGGAGUCGCUAGUAAUCGCAGAUCAGCAACGCUGCGGUGAAUACGUUCCCGGGGCU
rnacentral:rRNA from 1 species